ensembl:lncRNA
UUUAAUAUUUCUGUGAUGCUUUUUUUGCAGCUGAACUCCUCUAAUCUUUCUCUAACUCUGUACUUCACCAGUAUCAUAUUCAUUCUCUUUUUUGAUAUCAUAGUUACGGAUUUUCCUCAAGUUUUAGAAGCAUUUUUUAGGCCGUUUAUUUUGAUUAGACUGGGAUUGAUUUCUCUCUUCUCAGUCCAGCUGUUCUCUUGGUUGUGCUGCUUCCAGUAGUGUAUGUUUAUAUUAAAGCUUUUAUCCAAUCAUAUUUCAGCUAUCAUGUGUUGCCAGGGUCAAAGGGUGUUGCUAUGGCGCUCUGAGGCGUUUCUAGGGCAUUGCUAUGGUGUUCUAAAGGGUUUCUAGGGUGUUGCUGUCGUGUUCUGAAGGGUUUCUAGGGUGUUGCUGUGGCAUUCUGAGGGGUUUCUAGGGUGUUGCUAUGGUGUUCUGGGGGGUUUCUAGGGUGUGGUUAUGGCAUUCUGAGGGGUUUCUAAGGUGUUGCUAUGGUGUUCUGAGAGGUUUCUAGGGUGUUGCUAUGGUGUUCAGAUGGGUUUCUUGGUGGUUUCUGUGGUGUUCUAAGGGGCUGCUAGGUGAUUCAUAUUUUGGGAUAAUUUUAGGAGAGUGUUCAAAUCACUAACCUCGAGCAUUAUUUUUGUAGUAAUGAUUACCUAACAAUCGGCACUAGUUUGUUUCUAAAGGCAGUGAGGUUUCAUCAGAUGGUCAUUGAUGUCUGGUUUCAGAUGGCUGGUUAUCCAGCAGAGCAUUGUUCCCGUACAGCCUGUUAUCUCU